rnacentral:rRNA from 1 species
UGCAAGUCGAACGGCAGCACGAGAGCUUGCUCUUGGUGGCGAGUGGCGAACGGGUGAGUAAUAUAUCGGAACGUAUCCAAUAAUGGGGGAUAACUAAUCGAAAGGUUGGCUAAUACCGCAUACGCCCUACGGGGGAAAGCAGGGGAUCUUCGGACCUUGCGUUAAUGGAGCGGCUGAUAUCUGAUUAGCUAGUAGGUGAGGUAAAGGCUCACCUAGGCUUCGAUCAGUAGCUGGUCUGAGAGGACGACCAGCCACACUGGAACUGAGACACGGUCCAGACUCCUACGGGAGGCAGCAGUGGGGAAUUUUGGACAAUGGGGGCAACCCUGAUCCAGCCAUUCCGCGUGAGUGAAGAAGGCCUUCGGGUUGUAAAGCUCUUUCGCAAGGGAAGAAACGUUACGAGCGAAUAACUCGUGAUAAUGACGGUACCUUGAUAAGAAGCACCGGCUAACUACGUGCCAGCAGCCGCGGUAAUACGUAGGGUGCGAGCGUUAAUCGGAAUUACUGGGCGUAAAGCGUGCGCAGGCGGUUUUGUAAGUCAGAUGUGAAAUCCCCGAGCUCAACUUGGGAACUGCGUUUGAAACUACAAGGCUAGAGUAUGGUAGAGGGGGGUAGAAUUCCACGUGUAGCAGUGAAAUGCGUAGAGAUGUGGAGGAAUACCAAUGGCGAAGGCAGCCCCCUGGACUAAUACUGACGCUCAUGCACGAAAGCGUGGGGAGCAAACAGGAUUAGAUACCCUGGUAGUCCACGCCCUAAACGAUGUCUACUAGUUGUUGGGAGAGUAAAAUCUCUUAGUAACGCAGCUAACGCGUGAAGUAGACCGCCGGGGGAGUACGGUCGCAAGAUUAAA